ACGGAGGGUGCAAGCGUUGUUCGGAAUUAUUGGGCGUAAAGCGCGUGUAGGCGUUGGUUAAGUCUGAAGUCAAAUGCUGUGGCUUAACCACAGUUCGCUUUGGAAACUGGACGACUAGAGUACGAGAGAAGUAAGCGGAAUUCCAUGUGUAGCGGUGAAAUGCGUAGAUAUAUGGAGGAACACCAGUGGCGAAGGCGGCUACCUGGACCGAUACUGACGCUGAGACGCGAAAGCGUGGGGAGC
rnacentral:rRNA from 1 species